CGGAACAGAGCACGGACGAGGCGAGGCAGAGCACGAACGAGGCGAAGCAGAUGAGAUUGAAGGCAGAUUUCAAUCUUCUGGGCUUUGGUUCUUUUCUUUUCUUUCGUCUUUCUGAGCUUUGUGAGUAUCUGAUUGUUGUUUUUUUAGGGGUUCUUUGCUUCUUGCAGAAAUUGGUGGAAUGAUCUUGGGUUUAGGGUUUCUGCCGCUCUUUCGAUCAUCAGGAUUUGGUCUGGACAGUCUUCCUUCCAAGGUUCCCUUUCCAGGUUUAGGGUUUUCGUUUUGAUUAAUCUGAACCAGAGCAUGUCAUUUCCGUCAUCAUCGUCCAGGGUUGACUGGACCUUGAACCUUGGCCUGUGCUAAAAUUCUAAUAGGACUCUCCUUAGAUCAAGAUGAUAGCAAGGAGCUUCUCUCAUGGGCAAUAAGAGUUCUAGCCAAUCCAAAUGACAC